rnacentral:lncRNA from 1 species
GUAUGCAAAAUACAUAUACUUCAACAUAUGAAAGAAUAUAUAUAUAUAUAUAGUUUAAAUGUAUCCCCUAUAUUAGCAAAAAAUAAAAUAGCGAUCCAAUAAUACUUUGUUGUACAAAAUGGUGUGAAUAGUAUUUAUUAAUUGCAACUAUUAUAGAACAUUCAAUAAUUAAAAUCUUGCAGUCAUCUUCUGUUGACUGUAGCAUUACUGAAAGAACUCGAUCACCUACAAAUAAAUUACUCCUAUAUCUCUAAUUUAGUUCGGCAAGUAAUAGUAAAUUUAUGUUCAUUUUAGGUCAAGGGACAUAAAAGAAAAUAACUAUCAUAUUCAUCAGUAAAAUUGUACGUAAACGUAAUAAUAAAAUAGCGAAAAAUAUCACCAGUAGAAUGAAAAGUUUUGAAGCACGCCAUCAGCUGCACGCCCAGUGGUUCCCAUUUGGAGUGCCUAGCUAGCUCUCUAGAUCAAUUGUAUGCCUGGCCAAGUCCUCCUUAACUAUGUCAUUAGGCAAAUGUUUGGAAACAGACUCCAAUAAAUUUACUAGCUAGUUUCUUAAUCAUGCGUUGCGUAUAUAUGUUGAAACCAUACCUACUAGUAAAGCUCCCUCUACAGAGAUUUGGUGCCCAUUAUAAUAUUACCUAUUCCCCAUAUACAAAUUUAACCUCGCAGCAAUUAAAGAGAAAACUGAUAUUUAAUUAUUCUAGCAUAAAUUAAAGACGAAUAUGAUCCACGCCAACGUGUAACCAAGUAUUAAUUGCAUAGUUUAGAUACUCCACCUGUAGUAGUAAUUAAUGAAAUGGAUACAGCCUUAAUUACCCAGUUACCCUUGUACGUAUAACUAUAGGUUUGGUACUUGUGUUGGCCAGUAAUGGCAUUUUCGAUCCUCGAUCAUGAGCUACAUUGUACGAUAUGCACUCCACAAUACAAUGCGUAGUAGAUAUAUACACCUAACAAAUGCAAUGCAUUAUACAUAUAGCAUAAACGAGUGGUAUAUAUAUACAUACAUAUAUAUAUAUAUAUAUAUAUAUAUAUAUAUAUAUAAUUUUCAAAACAAAAAUAGUACUACACCAAUAUCAAUAUGACAACUUCAUCAACAAAAUCCCUGCGAAUUUAAGCAAACCGAAAUUCAAAGCUAUUCACGAAUGGAUUCUUUUGCCGGUACAUUUUUGCCCUUGUUACUUGGGAUCAACUUUGGAAGGAAAAAUUAUAUAAAAUCUCAUAUUCACCUGAUUUCUCCAAUCUCGAUCGGGCAUAAGAAUAUAUAUAUAGAUCAAGAAACUCUGCACAAGGAAUAGAAAAUGAAAAACAAACCAACAUAAAUAGAAUUUAGAUGCAAAGCCUUAUAGUUUCAAAAAACGUAGAACAAAGAGGGAAAUAAUAAUUAUAUAUAGCCAGCAAAAUAAAUUAUUAACGAGUGGCCUUGGAGAAGAUAUUAGGGUUUACCCACGGGAUCGAUCAACAUGCUCCUCACUCUAACUAUGGGGUUGAAUAUUAAGCAGGAGUAUCUAAUUGUUUAUCAAAUAAGAAACUAGUAGUAAUUUACAGGAAUUAUUAGUGUAGGGUUAUGAUCAAGUAUAUAUACAAACAAAAGGGAAAUCACAUACAAGCUGCCACUUACUUACCUAGCUAGAUAUUAAUUUGUUACUUUAAUUGUAUAUAGGGAGUAUAAAUAAAUAUAAAAUGAAUUUAUUGAUUGAUUCUACAGAUACAUAUACAUAUAUAUAUAUAAGCGAUCGAUUGAGAUUAUUGAUGAUAUGGAUGGAUGAGAAAGGGUUUUGCAAAGAGAGACCAACAGAGCUCCGUUGGCAGUAUGCCCACCUCCAUCUAUAUAUACAUAUACAUGAAACUAAAAUUGAAACUGAGAUUGAUAUAUAUAUAUAUAGAGAGAGAGAGAUUGUGGUUGAAAUAUCAAAAAUACGUAUAACACAAACACUGUUUUUUUUGGUGUAUACAUACUACACACAUAGUUUGGGGAGGAGGUGGACAGAAUGCCAAAAAACUCGGUAAGAAGCCCUUUGUUAAACCUCCCCAUGACCUUAUUUCCUUACCUUUUCUUCCGUUAAAUCUUGUGUAUAUUUUUUUCACCCCUCAUCACCAAAAUACACAGAAUACUGGUUAGCUACUUGCUGGUAUGUAUGACUUGUAUUAUUAGAGAUCAAGAGAGGAGAGAGGGAUUGAAGAUGGGGCAGUUGGGUUGUACUACUACUACAACAACUAUUUAAGAUGCAUGUGAGAUUGUGAGGUGAGAUCAUAAGGCUAGGCUAGGCUACUAUAGUAAAUAAGAGAGAGAAAGAAAUAAGAAGAGGUGUAAAUCCAUAAUAAGAAGUUAAGAGAGGGAGAGAUUGGAUGGUUGAUGAGUUGAUUGAAUCUUUACAAAGAGGCAGGAUGAGGGCAUAUUUAGAAGGAAAGGGGAUCAUCAUCAUCAUACUUAUUCCUCC